rnacentral:rRNA from 1 species
UACGUAGGGACCAAGCGUUGUUCGGAUUUACUGGGCGUAAAGGGCGCGUAGGCGGCGCGGUAAGUCACUUGUGAAAUCUCUGAGCUUAACUCAGAACGGCCAAGUGAUACUGCGGUGCUAGAGUGCGGAAGGGGCAACUGGAAUUCUCGGUGUAGCGGUGAAAUGCGUAGAUAUCGAGAGGAACACCUGCGGCGAAGGCGGGUUGCUGGGCCGACACUGACGCUGAUGCGCGAAAGCCAGGGGAGCGAACGGG